rnacentral:rRNA from 1 species
UGCGAGUGAAGCGGCAAAAGCUCAAAUUUGAAAUCUGGCGUCUUCGACGUCCGAGUUGUAAUUUGGAGGGGCAUCUUCGGAAUUGGCGCCGUCCUAAGUUCCUUGGAACAGGACGUCAUAGAGGGUGAGAAUCCCGUGCCUGGAUGGCUGUCCAAUUCCAUGUGAAGUGUCUCCGACGAGUCGAGUUGUUUGGGAAUGCAGCUCAAAAUGGGUGGUAAAUUUCAUCUAAAGCUAAAUAUUGGCGAGAGACCGAUAGCGCACAAGUAGAGUGAUCGAAAGAUGAAAAGCACUUUGAAAAGAGAGUUAAAAAGUACGUGAAAUUGUUGAAAGGGAAGCGCUUGAGACCAGACUCAAUCUUAGGUGAUCAGCUGUGCUUCUGUACGGUGCACUUGCCUUUGAUUGGGCCAGCAUCAGUUCUGACGGUGGGAUAAAAUGCAUAGGAAUGUGGCUCUCUUCGGGGAGUGUUAUAGCCUUUGUAACAAUGCCACCAGUUGGGACUGAGGACCGCGCUUCGGCUAGGAUGCUGGCGUAAUGGUCUUAAGCGACCCGUCUUGAAACACGGACCAAGGAGUCUAACAUCUAUGCGAGUGUUCGGGUGGAAAACCCUUGCGCGUAAUGAAAGUGAACGGAGGUGUGAACCCCUCGGGGUGCAACAUCGACCGAUCCUGAUGUUUUCGGAAGGAUUUGAGUAAGAGCAUAGCUGUUGGGACCCGAAAGAUGGUGAACUAUGCCUGAAUAGGGUGAAGCCAGAGGAAACUCUGGUGGAGGCUCGCAGCGGUUCUGACGUGCAAAUCGAUCGUCAAAUUUGGGUAUAGGGGCGAAAGACUAAUCGAACCAUCUAGUAGCUGGUUCCUGCCGAAGUU